UACGUAGGGUGCGAGCGUUGUCCGGAAUUACUGGGCGUAAAGAGUUCGUAGGCGGUUUGUCGCGUCGUUUGUGAAAACCCGGGGCUCAACUUCGGGCUUGCAGGCGAUACGGGCAGACUUGAGUGUUUCAGGGGAGACUGGAAUUCCUGGUGUAGCGGUGAAAUGCGCAGAUAUAAGGAGGAACACCAGUGGCGAAGGCGGGUCUCUGGGAAACAACUGACGCUGAGGAACGAAAGCGUGGGUAGCAAACAGG
rnacentral:rRNA from 1 species